rnacentral:snRNA from 1 species
GUUUUUGCUUUGGAAGCACAUACGCAAAACCGGAACCAUACAGAGAAGAUUAGCAUGAUCCCUGCAUAAGAAUGACACGAAAAUUUGUGAAGGUAAAUUAAAAAAA